rnacentral:lncRNA from 1 species
CCAAGAAGCAUCCUAAAACUUGGGUACAUUACAUUGCUGCUGAAGAGGAGGACUGGGACUAUGCUCCCUUAGUCCUCGCCCCCGAUGACAGAAGUUAUAAAAGUCAAUAUUUGAACAAUGGCCCUCAGCGGAUUGGUAGGAAGUACAAAAAAGUCCGAUUUAUGGCAUACACAGAUGAAACCUUUAAGACUCGUGAAGCUAUUCAGCAUGAAUCAGGAAUCUUGGGACCUUUACUUUAUGGGGAAGUUGGAGACACACUGUUGGUAAGUUGAAGAAAAGAUUUAAGGUCAGGUAAGAAGAAAAAGUCUGGAGAGUUUUGAGUUUCUAAAAUACCUCAUAAUUCAGCCUUGUCUCCAAUGGACAUGAUCUUUUAAAAGCUAUAAAUGUUACACAAAUAAUAGCUGAUUGUAUGUAUUUAAAGUUUGAGUAUAUAGAAUAAAAAUUUAAUGUCACCCACUAAA